rnacentral:lncRNA from 1 species
GUGAUUCUCUUUGAUUCUCUAGCAUAAACUCUUAAAAUCAGGAUGGAGAAUCACUCCAUAAACUAUAGCCUAUCAACUUCUAACACCAAUCAUUAAUGCAAAUCUAAGGGUACGGUGAAGUUGGAAUCUAGUAUCUUCAACCCGGAUCCCCAAAUCUAGAAAUCCCCUUUCCUUGGAUGAUAAAGGAAAGUAGUGGCACAAAACAGGGGACUGACCUAAGCGGAGCUCCUCCUCAUCCUCCCUUCACCACUAGGCCUGCUAGGAUUCGCCAUUCCCACCAUGAGCGGUUGCAGAUAUGCGCACUGAUG